rnacentral:lncRNA from 1 species
GUCUUAAUGGAAUAAACAUGUCAGAAAUUAAUGUAAUGACAUUUAGUAAAUGGAUUUCUAUAUCGUCCAACAUAUUAUUUACAAUGGAGGAGCGCCAAAAUGGCUGCACGGUGGCUUCAAUACAGCCCCCCCCCUGUCAGCCAUCCAGGGUUUAUACACAUCAUUAAGGAGAGACAAAAUGGCUGCAAUAGAGCACCCCCCUGUCAGCCAUCCAGGGUUUAUACACAUCAUUAAGGAGAGCCAAAAUGGCUUCAAUACAGCACCCCCCUGUCAGCCAUCCAGGGUUUAUACACAUCAUUAAGGAGAGCCAAAAUGGCUGCAAUACAGCACCCCCUGUCAGCCAUCCAGGGUUUAUACACAUCAUUAAGGAGAGCCAAAAUGGCUGCACGGUGGCUUCAAUACAGCACCCCCCUGUCAGCCAUCCAGGGUUUAUACACAUCAUUAAGGAGAGCCAAAAUGGCUUCAAUACAGCACCCCCCUGUCAGCCAUCCAGGGUUUAUACACAUCAUUAAGGAGAGCCAAAAUGGCUGCAAUACAGCACCCCCCUGUCAGCCAUCCAGGGUUUAUACACAUCAUUAAGGAGAGCCAAAAUGGCUGCAAUACAACACCCACCUGUCAGCCAUCCAGGGUUUAUACACAUCAUUAAGGAGAGCCAAAAUGGCUGCACGGUGGCUUCAAUACCAUCAACAAAACACCAAAUGAUGGAAUUUCCUCGUGGAAGAAUGGCGUCUCAUCCCUCCGAUAGACUUCCCAGACACUUGUAGAAUCGAUGUCAAGGUGUAUUAAAGCUGUUCUGGUUGGUGGAGGACCCGACGUCCUAUUAAAACACUGUUGGAGUUUCCUUUAUUCUCCCAGUUACCUGGUGGUUGGUGGAGGACCUGGAGUUUCCUUUAUUCUGCCAGUUACCUGGUGGACGACCCGACCUCCUAUUAAAACACUGUUGGAGUUUCCUUUAUUCUGCCAGUUACCUGGUGGACGACCCGACCUCUUAUUAAAACACUGUUGGAGUUUCCUUUAUUCUGCCAGUUACCUGGUGGACGACCCGACCUCCUAUUAAAACACUAUGUUGGAGUUUCCUUUAUUCUGCCAGUUACCUGGUGGACGACCCGACCUCCUAUUAAAACACUAUGUUGGAGUUUCCUUUAUUCUGCCAGUUACCUGGUGGUUGGUGGACCUGGAGUUUCCUUUAUUCUGCCAGUUACCUGGUGGACGACCCGACCUCCUAUUAAAACACUGUUGGUGUUUCCUUUAUUCUGCCAGUUACCUGGUGGUUGGUGGAGGACCUGGAGUUUCCUUUAUUCUGCCAGUUACCUGGUGGACGACCCGACGUCCUAUUAAAACACUGUUGGAGUUUCCUUUAUUCUGCCAGUUACCUGGUGGACGACCCGACCUCCUAUUAAAACACUGUUGGAGUUUCCUUUAUUCUGCCAGUUACCUGGUGGUUGGUGGACCUGGAGUUUCCUUUAUUCUGCCAGUUACCUGGUGGACGACCCGACCUAUUAAAACACUAUGUUGGAGUUUCCUUUAUUCUGGCAGUUACCUGGUGGUUGGUGGAGGACCUGGAGUUUCCUUUAUUCUGCCAGUUACCUCCUAUUAAAACACUUUAUGUUGCUGUUUCCUUCACAAGGUUCAUUUCCAUCUUGCUGUUUGUUGAAAGGUCAAGAUGUUUGGAUGUGUAUUUUAUUCUUCUGAUUGUUACAGAUUGGCUAAAUGCAGACAAAAUGCAACCCAAAACAGUCUUACCACAGUGUGCUUAUUGUGUGUGUGUGUGUGUGUGUGUGUGUGUGUGUGCGUGUGCUUAUUGUGUGUGUGUGUGUGUUGCGUCAGGUCUGCUUUCACCUAGUUAUGUAUAGCUGUUGUGUUUCAAUGUCAAAGUAUUAUUCAGGUCCUGAGGGCCAAAACAUUUCUGCUUUCUCUUCCUACCUGAUGUCCCCAGGUCUGAAUGAGUCUCUCUACCUGAUGUCCCCAGGUCUGAAUGAGUCUCUCUACCUGAUGUCCCCAGGUCUGAAUUAGUCCCAGGUCUGAAUGAGUCUCUCUACCUGAUGUCCCCAGGUCUGAAUGAGUCUCUCUACCUGAUGUCCCCAGGUCUGAAUGAGUCUCUCUACCUGAUGUCCCCAGGUCUGAAUUAGUCCCAGGUCUGAAUGAGUCUCUCUACCUGAUGUCCCCAGGUCUGAAUGAGUCUCUCUACCUGAUGUCCCCAGGUCUGAAUGAGUCUCUCUACCUGAUGUCCCCAGGUCUGAAUGAGUCCCAGGUCUGAAUGAGUCUCUCUACCUGAUGUCCCCAGGUCUGAAUGAGUCCCAGGUCUGAAUGAGUCUCUCUACCUGAUGUCCCCAGGUCUGAAUGAGUCUCUCUACCUGAUGUCCCCAGGUCUGAAUGAGUCUCAGGUCUGAAUGAGUCUCAACCUGUUGUCCCCAGGUCUGAAUGAGUCUCGGGUCUGAACGAGUCUCGGAUUACAGGUAGAGGAUGAGAACCAGUAGUGUUUCGUCCCUCCAGGACCAGAAAGAAAUAGCCCUUGGCUAGAUUCAAUCUGAUCCGCAGAAGAUCCGGGUUAUAGUUCACCUUUAAAAAAACCAAAAAGGUAAUUUAGGAUUGAGCCUACUGUUAACGUGGAAACUUUACCUUUUAAUAAGGUGCACAGCCGAAAAGAGGAGAUCGGAUUUGAAUCUAGGAACAGCUUCCUCCCUCCAGUCCUAACGAGGGGUGAGAGAUAUAUAUAUAUAUAUGGGUCCCGUGUGGCUCAGUUGGUAGAGCAUGGGUGUUUGCAACGCCAGGGUUGUGGGUUCGAUUCCCACGGGGGACCAAUACGGGGGGGGGAAAUGUCUGAAAUGUAUGCAUUCACUACUGUAAGUCGCUCUGGAUAAGAGCGUCUGCUAAAAUGACUAAAAUGUAAAUGUUAAUAACUGAUCUAGGAUCAGUUUCCUCCCUCCAGUCCUAACAGGUCACCAUUAGAGAGGUGAUAUAUAUAUAUAACUGAUCUAGGACCAGUGUUGAACAGGUCACCAUUAGAGAGGUGAUAUAUAUAUAUAUAUGACUGAUCUAGGAUCAGUCCUAACGGGUCACCAUUAGAGAGGUGAUAUAUAUAUAUAUAUAUAUAACUGAUCUAGGACCAGUGUUGAACAGGUCACCAUUAGAGAGGUGAUAUAUAUAUAUAUAUAUAUAUAACUGAUCUAGGACCAGUGUUAAACAGAGCUGAAUGUCUGUCUGGUUCAUACCAUUUAUGAUGCUGAUGUAUUGUUAUUAUAAUGACAUUAAAUUAUUGAAUGUUUC